rnacentral:lncRNA from 10 species
UGGAUUCACAUGGCAGGUUUAUGAAGCUGCAGUUCAGCUCUCCGGAGCAGUAGGCCCAAGUUGCUGCAUUAUCUCUGCUAGAGCAUUCAACGCUGGACAGACACGGGACAGGGAGAGUAGGAAAUGAUAUUUUUUAACUUGACAUUCAGGAAGAUUUGAAGAUUUACAAGCAUUAGCAGGAUACUUCUGAAGCUCUAUACACUGGGGGAAGGGAGGCUGGGCUCAUUGCACCCGAAUGAUUUUGCAAACCGGCACACCUACCCGUCCCUUUGCCUGUCUGAUUUGCUAAUUCUGUUUUUUUUUUCUUCCCCCUCCCAAAAAGACUGUUAUUGGCCUUUUCUCAGACUUCUGUUAGGCAUUCUGGGCUGGCACAGAGGAUCACUGAACACCACUUUCUUCACGGGCCUGCAGGAAUUUCAAUCUGGGGUGAGGUUUAUGCAAACACAAAUUAAAUCAGACAUCCAUGGAGUUUUCACCAGAUUUCAAGGUUAUCGGAAAACACCUGCCCUUCAUAAGAGAAUGUUCCUGAAUCCUAGCCCAGGGACCCACUGAGCUUUCUGCUCAUGACACAAUCUCACGAUCUUUCCCAGGCUGGAAUGCAGUGGUAUGAUCACAGCUCGCUGCAGCCUCAAACUUCUGGCCUCAAGCAAUCCUUCUGCCUCUGCCUCCCAUACUGCUGGCAUUACAGGCAUGAGCCACCACACCUGGCCAUCAUUUACCUUUUUGAUUGACGUUUUCUGACAUCUUGCCCAAGGCAUUUUUGUGGACAUUACCUUUCCUUCCAUCAAUGCACCCUGUCGUGUUAAAGAACACAAGAUAUCUAAGUGUAAAUGUCUGAAACUCACACGGCUUUCAUCCGCAACUGCCCCAAAAUUCAAAAUAGGAGAGAGUCUUAGGAAUGUCUGAAGAUUUAUGACUGUUUUUUAAAAGAGGGGGAAAAUUGUCACCAGCAAAGGAUAGCCUUGAGUUUCUUUUUCUGACCCUGCCAUAGCCUUGGGAGCAGCUGCAAGGGGACUUGGUUGUCAUAAAGAGGCCAUGCAAGGAUGCUACAGACAGCUGAGUCGCAAAUGCGCCUGAGCCGCUGAUCUUCGUGGGGUCCUGUAAUAAACACUCAGUUGUCCAACGAAAGGAGUCUGACUCCCACAGGGAAGUUGCCAAGAAAAAUUGAUCAGCCGAUGGAUUUUGCUUUUUGUAAACUCUGGCACUUAGACAUUUCCCUUUAACAGCGUUUGAGAUGACUUUGCUAGGGCGGCAGCUGGAAUGGGAAUCAGAUGGUGUCGGAAUGGAGCGGGGUCAAGAGCCUGCAGAGCCCAUGGAGACAAAAGACCUAGCUUCCAGUUCCAGCCACUCACAGGCUGUUGCUGGCACCUUCUCUCAGUCUCAGUUUCCUCACCUGGAAAUGAAUGGAGAAGAAUAGUAUCUGCCUCCUGAGUCGAUUUGAAAGGCUAAAUGAGAUAAUGUACAUGUAGAAGGAUGUCAGUGUUUAACCGGGGUUGCCAUGGAAACAACAAUGUCCCUGUGGUGGGGAGUUGCUUCUUUCCUUUGUCUGCUGCUUUGGAAUGAGUGGGUCGCUGCCUCUCUCCUCUCUUUUUUUGGUGGCUAAUGACUUGGGAUUUGGUUUUAACAGAUUAUAAGACCUAGUGACAAUAGGGAAUACAACCUUGGGAUUGAGGAUGAAGACAGUGUGUAAGGGGGGUUCCCUGGGGAUGGAGGGUGGGGUGAAAUAGUGUGGAGAAGAAGAACAAUUCUGGGGUCAGGAUGCCCAGGGUGGAAUUCUGGGGGCCAGCCCCUGGCAGUGGGGCAGUGCCAGCUGAGAUCAUGGAGAGGAGGAUCAGAGGGAGGGCUGCGAUUUCAUCUUACACUGUUACCUACUCUACACCAUCAGAAUAAACUGACUUUCCAAUGGACAGAGAUGCCCAGCAGGCCUGCAGAACUGGUUCUGCUCCAUCCUUGGGUGCCUGGUCCAUGGUUAGCUUGAAGGGACCCUUGGAUGCUAAAUGAAGUGGUAGGAUGAGCUUCCACCCUGGGCAAGGCCAAAGGCUGGGCUGAGCCAAGGAAGGACUGAACGUGACUGCUGAGUGGGGGCAGUGGUCUGUGAGCACUACUGCUAUAGGCUGAAUGUUUUUCUUCCCCCAAAAUUCAUAUGUUGAAAUCCUAACCCCCAAGCAAUGGCAUUAGAAGGUGGGGCCUUUGAGACAUGAUCAGUCAUGAGGAUGCAGCUGUCAUGAAUGGGAUUAGUGCCCUUAUAAAAGAGACCCAGAGAGCUUCCUUCCUCCUUUUCCAUGUGAGGAGACAGUAAGAAGCCUCCAUCUGUGAACCAGGAAGUGAGCCCUCACCUGACAUUGAAUUUGCUGGCAACUUGACCUAGGACUUCCCAGCUUCCAGAACUGUGAGGGAUAAAUGACUGUUGUUUAUAAGCCACCCAGUCUAUGGCAAUUUGUUAUAGCAACUUGAACGGACUGAGGCAGCCACCUCACAUGUGGAUGCCCUUCACAUGUGCUGGACACUGAAGGAGGCUGUUACUACCAUUUUCCCUGGUUGUUGAGAAAAACUUUCAAUACAGCAGUUACAAAC